ensembl:lncRNA
CUGGGGGUUUUCAUUGACCUUGACUUUAUUUCCGGCAAUUUUAUUAGUUAUAACUGUCUUUUGGAGGAUUCAUUAGGAUUUUCUAUAUAUGAGACGCUGGACCUCUGGGAAUAGAGUUAGUUGUACUUCUUCCUUUUCAGUCUGGGUGCCUUUUAUUUCUUCUCACCCAGGCCAGAACCUCCAACACAACAUUAAAUAGAAUUAGCUGAGCAGGGACUUCCCUGGUGGUCUGGUGGUCCAGGGCUUAAGACUCCACUCUGCCAACGUAAGGAGCUUGGGUUCAAUCCCUAGUCAGGAACUAUGAUCCUAAAUGCCACAUGGUGUAGCCCCAAAAAUAAAAUUUUUUAAAAGUAGCAGAGCAGAUAUCUUUGACGUGUUCUGCUCUUAGGAGAGAAGCAUCCAGUCGUGGACCACAGGAUAUGUGCCCAGAAGUGAGAUUGCUGGAUCAUGUCGCUAAGUCGUGUCCGACUCUUUGCAUCCCCAUGGACUGCAGCACAUCAGGCCCCCCUGUCCUUCACUGUCUCCUGGAGUUUGCUCACAUUCAUGUCCAAAGAGUCCGUGAUGCCAUCUAACCAUCUCAUCCUUUCUGAUGCUGAAGCUGAAGCUCCAAUACUCUGGCCACCUGAUACAAAGAGCUGACUCAUUAGAAAAGACCCUGAUGCUGGGAAAGAUCGAUGACAACAGGAGGAGGCGGCGGCAGAGGAUAAGUCCCUUGUUUCCCAUCUUAAAAGGAGGGACUGCCGUGGCAGCCCAGUGGUUGCAACUCUGCUCUUCCCCUGUUGCGGGGGUCUGUGCAGGUUCCGUCCCUGAUUGGGAAACAGAUCCCACAUGCUGAGCCACCAAAACAAAAUAAGGAAUUUCUUUAAAAAAAACAACAGGAAAGCUCUCAGCCUUUCACCACGAUGACGUUACCUGUGAUUGUCAUAUAUGCCCUGUAUUAUGUUAACUUAAAUUCUUUCUAUACCAAAUGUGUGGAGACUUUGACAUAAAAGUAUGUUGAAUUUUGUCAAAUUCAUUUUUUGUGUGCAUGUAUGGAGAUACUCGUGUAAUUUUACCUUUUACUAUUAAUGUGUUUUAUCACAUUUCUCUGUUUACAUAUUUUGAACCAUCCUGCAUCCCAGGGAUGAAUCCCACUUGAUUGUGGGGUAUGAUCCUUUAAUGUGCUAUUGUUAGUCCCCUGUUGAGAAUCUCUAUAUCCAUAUUCUUCACAGAUAUAAGUCUAUAGUUUUCUUUUCUUGCAGUGCCCUUAUUCAGCUUUGUUACCAAGAUAAUAAUGUUGGCCUUGUGAA